rnacentral:sRNA from 1 species
AUAUCUCUCCGUACGGGAAGGAUGAGAAGCUUCGAUUAAGGUUCGAUUCGAGCGCAGCGAGAAAGCGUUGCCGCAGGCAACGACCCGA